CAAGAAUGGAAAUUGAUAAAAAGACUGAGAAGAAGAUGUUGCUUUCAUGGAACUUAAAGUUGCAUAAGUGGAGAAGACCUUCUCAUUAUAUCCCAGUGUUUAUAAUCUUGAUUUUGCUGUUCCUGGCUUUCUUCGGGAGAUCAGUAGCCAUAUUAUGCACCUCUAUCGGGUGGUAUUUAGUCCCUACAUUGAGUUCACAAAGA
rnacentral:misc_RNA from 1 species